rnacentral:rRNA from 1 species
UACGUAGGGUCCAAGCGUUAUCCGGAAUCACUGGGCGUAAAGCGUGCGUAGGUGGCGUGUUAAGUGUGAUGUUAAAUCGUGUGGCUCAACCAUAUCGAUGUGUCGCAUACUGGCAUGCUAGAGGGAAGCAGAGGCAAGUGGAAUUUGUAGUGUAGCAGUGAAAUGCGUAGAGAUGCGGAGGAACACCGAUGGCGAAGGCAGCCCCCUGGGCCAACACUGACGCUCAGGCACGAAAGCGUGGGGAGCAAACAGG